AUGAAGAAGAGCAGUAAUCUCGAGGCCUUCCUCCGCGCCGCCACGCCCCUGCUCCCAUGGCGCUCCGCCACCAUGGAACGUUUCCAGGGCGCGCCGAGCAGCGUGUGGCAGCAGCCGGACGGCAAGAGCAAGGACGCGGUGGAGUACUUCGCGCUGUCCGACCUCUGGGAGCACUACGCCGAGAGCAGCGCCUACGGCCUCGCCGUGCCCGUCCGCGACGCCGGUGACCGCGCCGUGGUCACCACGCAGCACUUCGUCCCCUACCUCUCCGCCGUCCAGCUCUACACCGCCACAAAGCCCACCACUCACACCCUCGGCGCCACCUCCAGGAGCACGGGCAGCGAGACGGAUUCAUGGAGCGACGACAGCGUGGGCGACCGGUUCGCCGGCUCAGGGUCCUCCUCGUGGGACGCGGCGUCGGACGAAGACGAUUCUUCCUCCACCUACGACGGCAACGGCUCUACCGGCGUGUCAGCGAAGCAGGGCGGGUACCUGAACUUUCAGUACAGGGAGUGGGACUCGCCCUACGAGAGGGUGCCGCUGGCUCACAAGGUGGCGGAGCUGGCUCAGGAUUACCCAUGCCUGACGUCGCUCAGCAGCGCGGAGCUCUCGCCGUCGAGCUGGAUGUCCGUGGCAUGGUACCCAAUCUAUCACAUCCCUGCUCAUGUCAACCUGAAGGGUACCUCUGCCUGCUUCCUCACCUACCAUUCCAUCUCAUCGGUCUUCCAAGACACCAUACAUAGCGGACCGGCGCACGAUGAUGGUGAGAUCGCGGCGCUCUCGCCGUUCGGGCUGGCAACAUACAGGAUGCAAGGCGACCUAUGGAAGAGACCAGGGUCAUCAGACCAUAGGAGGCUGUCUGAGCUUCACUGGGCGGCGGCCUCCUGGUUGAAGCAAGUCGGUGCACACCACCCCGACUUCACCUUCUUCACAUCUUCACACCGUCGAUAA
rnacentral:rRNA from 1 species